CCUUCAAGGGAAAUUUUGUCAUUUUUUUUUAACAUUAUCCCAAUUAGUUAAAAACUCUUUUUAUUCAUUGGAUCCAGAAAUUUAUUUGCAAAUACGUUACGUUUUUUUUGUUUCCAGCAAAUAACACAUUACUUUUAUUUCCCUGCAAAUAAUUUUUUUAUUUUUAUGUGUUUAGCUGUUUCUUUAUUUUCCUCAAUUUCUUGUAUUAAACCCCCCUCUUCAUCUGCCAGUUUCACGACUUAAUAUCACCUCCCAACAGUCUUAAUCUCUCUCUCGAACUCAACUUCUAAGAAGCUCCAUAGGUUGGCUCAAGUAAUCAAGCUUAUCCUUGCGAUCUAAAGUCCUUUAAAUGUUUUGAGGGCAGAGGUGAACACUUUGGCACCUACAUAAUGAAAAUUAUAGAUUUAGGCAAGGAAAAGGUCAGAGAGAUUUCAGAGGGAGUUUAAGGCGUCCAGGAAGGAAAUGUUUUGGAAUCAAAUACCGUGUUUUUUUCAUCCAUGAUAUACUAGCAUGCGAGGUUUUGCCUUAUAGCAUUUUGAUGCAAAUUUCUGUUUGAUCAUGUGUUCUCUGUUUUCAAGGCCUUGAAACUGACAUUUUAAGAACUGGAUUUGAUUAGAUUGAUCAGUGAUUUUGGAGACACCUUAUGUUUUUUGCCUCUUCAAUGUUGCAUCAGCUGUUCACGCAUUUCAUAUUUGAUGAUUUAUACUGUAAAUGCAUGCGUCAUGGUGACUACCUCGGAGUAUUAUUUCCAUUAUCAGUGGCAUUCAUGAAUCUUCAUCAUACCUUACUCGAGAUAUCUCUUCUAACAUGUUUUACAGUACUUUUUGUCAAGAAAAAAAAAGAUACCUCUUCUAACGUAAUUGUCAAGCCAGGUGAAGGAUGGAGUUGGCCUGGAAUAACUGUUUUUGGCUGUAAUGAUUUCUUAGAAGUUCAAGAAUUAGGCUAUGGCUAAGGUGGGGGAACCAGGACGGAGGUGUGUCUUAACCAAGUUUACCAGGAAUGGCUAUGCACUGCCAGUCCCUUCAUCAGAUGCCGUUAAAUCCCAGAACAGCUGACGGAAUUCCUGAAUCUUGGUAUGUCUGCAUUUUUGUUGGUGACCUCUUGGCUGUGGGAUUCAAUGGAUGUAUUAUUAACAAUCUUGGGUCAAUUCAAUAUUAGCAUUGUAACUAUGAUACAAGGACAUUCUCAUCCUGUCAUUUAAAGUGAAGUCUGAAGAGAAGCACUAAUUCUACUUUGGAGUUGGGUUUAGGGGUUGAGUUGUAACGUCAGCUGUCCUUUUGAUAUUUUAGGAUUUGCGUCAGGAGUGACUUUUGAUGCAAUUACAUUCAUUUUUUUUCUUUGGUAAUAAACUGUAAAUAUUACCAUACCAAUACAAGUUAAUACACCUAAAGAGCACCUAAGUUCCUCGACCACCUUCUAGGAAGAGUGUACAGGCAACCUAAGCCUCAGAGAUAACUAGUUACAAUGCAUGUUAAGAAACCAAGUACACCUCCUAGCUAAUUGUUACCCGCUAUACAUACGAGUUCUCUCCAGAACACUAGUUUGUAUUGGCCGCAAAACAAAAUCUGUAUGUACACUGUCCCUUGAAGAUUUUCCCAUUCCAUGCGUGCCAUAUAUGGUCUAACAAAGCCCCAUAACUAGCAGCAACCACCUCUCUCUUAAACUUUCUCCAGUGUUCGUGUUUGUAUAGUCAUCUGCACAUCUUCCAGGUUGUCAAUAAUACCAAGCCAUCGGGUGAGACCAUACCAUACCUCUUUGGACCAGUCACAUUCUGCAAAUAGGUAUCUAGCACACUCAGUCACCUGCUUAUCACAGAGCACACACUUUUCAUCCUCAUAAUGCAGUCCCAAUCUUGCUAAUCUUUCCCUUGUGAAAAGCCUUUCCUGCACCGCAAUCCACAUUAGAAAACUAUGCUUAGGCAAGAACAAUUUGCUCCAAAUUAAUUCAGCUCCCUCAAAUGGAGGUCUCAUUCCCUGCAAUGGAUUGUAGCACAUGGAAACUGAAUACAUUCCAUUAGAGGUGAGAGUAUAUCUUUCCUGAUCAUACCAACUAACCAUUCCCAGCUUGAUUUUGUGCAAGUGUUUCCAGUACCAACUGCAGCUUUUAGAAGGGUUAUGAGCCCAAAAAUCGCCAUCCCUCUCAUAUAAAAACUAUGCACCCAUUGUACCCAAAGCUGCUCCUUUCUUUGCCAUAACCACCGUAUCAGUUUGCCCACAGAGGCAAUAUUCCACAACCUGCAAUUUUUAUAAUUCAGUCCACCCUGAGCCUUAGGUGCACGCACCUUAAACCAUGUUACUAAGACAAUUUUCCUUUUCUCCUCAUUGCACUCCCAUAAAAUAUGUCACACUUUGAGGCAACCAAAACACUGAGCUCCAAAAGUUUUGUAGCGAAAACAACACAAAAUUCACCACUUGUAAUUGUUCAAUAUAGGAUAAAUGCAUGGCUAAUGUAGCUCUAAUCUUACCUAUAAUUCUCAUACUUAGCUGGUGGAAAUCAAUCUUGUUGCAUUUUUUAUGGGACAAUGGAAGUCCAAGGUACCUAAUAGACAAGGUACCAACUGCAAGUCCUGUGAUGUCUAACAGCUUCCUCUUAAGGUCAUCUUUAAUCCUCGCUAUAAACAUAGUGGACUUCUCAUUAUGAGCUAUCAACCCUGUAAUGUCUGAGAAACAUCUAAUAGCCUCCAUAGUUCUGGUCACAGCCUCCUCACUUGCUUUGAAUAAGAUCAUUGAUCCUUCAGUAAAGGUAAGAUGAGUCAGCUUCAAAUCUUUACACAAAGGUGAUACCUGAAAUCAGGGACCUGUCUCAUUCUUGACAUUAGCGUAGAGAAAUAUUCAAUCACCAUGACAAAAAGUAAAGGUGAGAUGGGAUCACCUUGUCUCAACCCUCUCCUCCCUUCAAGAUACCCACACCCUUCACCAUUUACCUUCACUGAAAAAGUAGUGGUGGUCACACAUUCAAUCACAAUCUGCACAAUUUAGGCAGUGAUAUGCUCAAGUUUAGUCGAGUUUUAAGAAUUUUUACAUUCUAGUGAUAUGCAUAACUUGGUUGAUGGCUGUGACAAUACAACUACAACAACUAAUUUAUGUGUAUCAAAUACAGUAUACAUGUAUUCUUCAAGUAUUGUGUCUGAAUUUGAAACUUACCAGUCCUCACAUUGACACUUUGCUACAACUACAACUACAACUACAACUACAACAGCAACAACAACAACAUACUCAGUGUUACUCCACAGGUGGGGUCUUGGGAGGGUAGUGUGUACGCAAUCCUUACCCCUACCUCCUAUAUUUGGUAGACUCUUAGCUUAAUAAAAAACAUAACACAACACUCUGGAAAAGGAAUACCAGAAGUGUAGAAGCCACAACAAAAUAAUAUAGAUAACGUGUCAAAGCAUUCUAAAGAAAAGGAACAAUGUCUGCAACAAAAUAAUAUUAUAAUCGAAGUACAAGAAAUAACAAAUAAUAAUAAAAAUCGAAGAACAAGAAACUACAAGAGUAUUGCUUUAAUUGUUGGCAUGUAAGGUUAAAAGACACAAUACUCAACUACCUACUAGACUUAUACCCCAAUUUGUCUCCUCCAUAGCCUCCUAUCUAAGAUCUUGUCCUCGGUAAGCUGAAGUUGCGCCAUGUCCUGCCUAAUCACCUCUUUUCUCAAUACUUCUUCGGCCUAACUCUACCUCUCCUGACACCUUCCAUAGACGGCUCCAAAUUAGGACAUUCGUUCAUCUCCUCUUCACAUGCUCAAACCAUCUCAGUCUCGCUUCCUGUUUUUUAUCCUCUCUGAAGCUUGGGUAGCUUCGACCUUAGCCGAUAAAGUUUCCUUGACCCUAUUUUCGAUGCUAAUCCUAGCUAGAUCGUCGGCACUGUGAAUGUACUCAGUAACAAUGCUAGUGGCGACAACCAAUUGUUUAGCCAAAUGAACGUUAAUUUCAAUGGCGUUAUCAUAAUUAGGAGUAGCAAAGAAGUAAGUGAAAUUAAGGUUUGAACAAGGGGGGAAAAAGUAAACUUGGGGGGAGGAAUCAACAUCAGGGAUGCAAGAGAGGUGUAAGAUAGAGGUGCAUUUUGAGCAUUGGAUACAAAGGUGAGGAGGAGGAGGAUUGUGGAGGAAGAUAUCAAAGCAGAUAGGGCAAAAAGAACCCGGGUGGGAGUCAAGUACACAUGCAGUGCAAAGAUGGUGGUAGACACCUCUGCAGGGGAGAUAGUGGAGGAUGAAGGUGCAUUUAACGAAGCAAACUACACAUUUACGACCUUCUAAUGGUUGCUCCUCUACUUGCUGUGGCAUUCGAACUAGCAAUUUUAUCUAACCCUAACGGCCUAUCAUAAUCUCAAGUUUUUUUAUUUUUGAGGAAAAAUCUCAAGUUUAUUUAUAAGGACUGAUAUAAAAGAGUUGUUUAGAUUCUAAGUAUCCAACCCCCUUUUUUGUUCUUUUAUUUUCUCUACAUGCAUUUAUGAAUGAAAUAAAUACAUAUAUCCUUUUUUACAUGGAAAUCAUUAGCACAUAACACUCAUCCAUGCAAUUUGGGAAUUUUUUUUAAGAGAGUUGUCACUGUUAAUAUAUAACUCACUCAAUUGUCAUACUUGAAAUUUGGAAAAUUCAAGUUCCACCAAUAUUUGGCUGAAGGGUUAUAGAUUAAUGUGUGAAACUUUUGAGUUUUAAAUGCCUUCAUCAAUGAAUCUUGACGAUUUUAUAUCAUUCCUUAUUAACUUUCUCUCAUAUAUCUGGUGAGAAAAUGGGCCUCUCAUGAAGGGCUAUGAAGUUUACUAAACAAAUCCUUGAAUUCUAUUAUGCAUCUAUCCUUCAUAAAGAUCUACCCCUUUUUUUUUAUCGAAGUUUAAUAUAGUGGAGGGAACUAUAAUGGGAAGUAUAGGAUACUGCAUUCUUUUACUUGCCAUUUUAUAUCUUCUCCAGAAAAUUUUAGGCUAGAGAUUUACAAUGUGUUAGCAGCACGCGGUAGUUUUGUUCCACUAGAUGUCAUUACUUAAUGAAUACUCUCCUCUUGUCUUUAGUAAAUUUAUUAUGUAU